CAGUGCGUAGCUAAACAGUAUAGCAUCUCCCUUACACUGAGAAGACGCCCGUGCAAACCGGACCGCACUG
rnacentral:tRNA from 1 species